CGCUGCCUGAUCGGCCGUUUGCCGCGACGUGAAGUUGACGAAUCGCCUUGGAAAUGAUAAGAUAGCAAUAGGUUCAAGAAGGAGUUUUGAAAUCAAAAGUUCCUUUUCCAGGUCGGGCUGCAGUGUUCGGGUCUUGCGCAAUGGGAUCUCAUGAACCACGUCAGGUCCGGAAGGAAGCAGCGUUAAGUGAAUCGUCUCAUGUGCCGUGAGGGUGCCUGGGGACUGCGGUUCGACGUGAAAAAGGAAGGCAGCU
rnacentral:SRP_RNA from 1 species